rnacentral:rRNA from 1 species
ACAGAGACUGCAAGCGUUACUCGGAUUCACUGGGCGUAAAGGGAGCGCAGGCGGACUGGUGUGUCAGGCGUGAAAUCCCGGGGCUCAACCCCGGGGCUGCGCCCGAAACUACCAGUCUAGAGACUUGGAGGGGUGAGCGGAAUUCUUGGUGGAGCAGUGAAAUGCGUAGAUAUCAAGAGGAACACCAACGGCGAAGGCAGCUCACUGGACAAGAUCUGACGCUCAGGCUCGAAAGCGUGGGGAGCAAAAGGGAUUAGAUACCCCUGUAGUCCACGCUGUAAACGGUGCGCAUUAGGUCUCGGAGCUUUCGAACGCUCCGGGGCUCAAGCUAACGCAUUAAAUGCGCCGCCUGAGGACUACGGCCGCAAGGCUA